rnacentral:rRNA from 1 species
GAUGAACGCUGGCGGCGUGCCUAAUACAUGCAAGUCGGGCGAACGGACGAGAAGCUUGCUUCUCUGAUGUUAGCGGCGGACGGGUGAGUAACACGUGGAUAACCUACCUAUAAGACUGGGAUAACUUCGGGAAACCGGAGCUAAUACCGGAUAAUAUUUUGAACCGCAUGGUUCAAAAGUGAAAGACGGUCUUGCUGUCACUUAUAGAUGGAUCCGGGCUGCAUUAGCUAGUUGGUAAGGUAACGGCUUACCAAGGCAACGAUGCAUAGCCGACCUGAGAGAGUGAUCGGCCACACUAGAACUGAGACACGGUCCAGACUCCUACGGGAGGCAGCAGUAGGGUAUCUUCCGCAAUGGGCGAAAGCCUGACGGAGCAACGCCGCGUGAGUGAUGAAGGUCUUCGGAUCGUAAAACUCUGUUAUUAGGGAAGAACAUAUGUGUAAGUAACUGUGCACAUCUUGACGGUACCUAAUCAGAAAGCCACGGCUAACUACGUG